UAUGUGUGUGUGUGUGUGCGUAUAUAUAUAUAUAUAUAUAUGUAUGUAUGUGUGUGUAUAUAUAUAUAUAUAUACACACACACACACACACACACAUA